GCGCGAAAACUUUACAAUGCUGGCAACAGCGAUAAGGGAACCUCGCGUGCCAGGUUACAGAUCUGGCUGUCGAGAUGCCUAAAAAGCAUUUCAUAGCAAGGGCCGGGCAAGACCGGUGCCAGCCGCCGCGGUAACACCGGCGGCUCGAGUGGUAACCGUUAUUAUUGGGUCUAAAGGGUCUGUAGCCGGCCGGAUAAGUCUCUUGAGAAAUCUGGCAGCUUAACUGUCAGGCUUUCGGGAGAUACUGUCUGGCUCGAGGCCGGGAGAGGUGAGAGGUACUUCAGGGGUAGGGGUGAAAUCUUGUAAUCCUUGAAGGACCACCAGUGGCGGAGGCGGCUCACCAGAACGGACCUGACGGCAAGGGACGAAAGCUAGGGGCACGAACCG
rnacentral:rRNA from 1 species